rfam:Dufourea novaeangliae contig2843, whole genome shotgun sequence.
AAAUCGGCCCCUUUCGGGGCCAUCAAUGUUCAUAACGUAGGAACA